GAUGAACGCUGGCGGCGUGCCUAAUACAUGCAAGUCGAGCGAACGGGCGAGAAGCUUGCUUCUCUGAUGUUAGCGGCGGACGGGUGAGUAACACGUGGAUAACCUACCUAUAAGACUGGGAUAACUUCGGGAAACCGGAGCUAAUACCGGAUAAUAUUUUGAACCGCAUGGUUCAAAAGUGAAAGACGGUCUUCUGUCACUUAUAGAUGGAUCCGCGCUGCAUUAGCUAGUUGGUAAGGUAACGGCUUACCAAGGCAACGAUGCAUAGCCGACCUGAGAGGGUGAUCGGCCACACUGGAACUGAGACACGGUCCAGACUCCUACGGGAGGCAGCAGUAGGGAAUCUUCCGCAAUGGGCGAAAGCCUGACGGAGCAACGCCGCGUGAGUGAUGAAGGUCUUCGGAUCGUAAAACUCUGUUAUUAGGGAAGAACAUAUGUGUAAGUAACUGUGCACAUCUUGACGGUACCUAAUCAGAAAGCCACGGCUAACUACGUG
rnacentral:rRNA from 1 species